rnacentral:rRNA from 1 species
GACGAACGCUGGCGGCGUGCUUAACACAUGCAAGUCGAACGGAAAGGCCCUGCUUUUGUGGGGUGCUCGAGUGGCGAACGGGUGAGUAACACGUGAGUAACCUGCCCUUGACUUUGGGAUAACUUCAGGAAACUGGGGCUAAUACCGGAUAGGAGCUCCUGCUGCAUGGUGGGGGUUGGAAAGUUUCGGCGGUUGGGGAUGGACUCGCGGCUUAUCAGCUUGUUGGUGGGGUAGUGGCUUACCAAGGCUUUGACGGGUAGCCGGCCUGAGAGGGUGACCGGCCACAUUGGGACUGAGAUACGGCCCAGACUCCUACGGGAGGCAGCAGUGGGGAAUAUUGCACAAUGGGCGGAAGCCUGAUGCAGCAACGCCGCGUGCGGGAUGACGGCCUUCGGGUUGUAAACCGCUUUCGCCUGUGACGAAGCGUGAGUGACGGUAAUGGGUAAAGAAGCACCGGCUAACUACGUGCCAGCAGCCGCGGUGAUACGUAGGGUGCGAGCGUUGUCCGGAUUUAUUGGGCGUAAAGGGCUCGUAGGUGGUUGAUCGCGUCGGAAGUGUAAUCUUGGGGCUUAACCCUGAGCGUGCUUUCGAUACGGGUUGACUUGAGGAAGGUAGGGGAGAAUGGAAUUCCUGGUGGAGCGGUGGAAUGCGCAGAUAUCAGGAGGAACACCAGUGGCGAAGGCGGUUCUCUGGGCCUUUCCUGACGCUGAGGAGCGAAAGCGUGGGGAGCGAACAGGCUUAGAUACCCUGGUAGUCCACGCUGUAAACGGUGGGUACUAGGUGUGGGGUCCAUUCCACGGGUUCCGUGCCGUAGCUAACGCUUUAAGUACCCCGCCUGGGGAGUACGGCCGCAAGGCUAAAACUCAAGGGAAUUGACGGGGCCCCGCACAAGCGGCGGAGCAUGCGGAUUAAUUCGAUGCAACGCGUAGAACCUUACCUGGGUUUGACAUGGAUCGGGAGUGCUCAGAGAUGGGUGUGCCUCUUUUGGGGUCGGUUCACAGGUGGUGCAUGCCUGUCGUCAGCUCGUGUCGUGAGAUGUUGGGUUAAGUCCCGCAACGAGCGCAACCCUUGUUCACUGUUGCCAGCACGUUAUGGUGGGGACUCAGUGGAGACCGCCGGGGUCAACUCGGAGGAAGGUGGGGAUGACGUCAAGUCCUCAUGCCCCUUAUGUCCAGGGCUUCACGCAUGCUACAAUGGCUGGUACAGAGAGUGGCGAGCCUGUGAGGGUGAGCGAAUCUCGGAAAGCCGGUCUCGGUUCGGAUUGGGGUCUGCAACUCGACCUCAUGAAGUCGGAGUCGCUAGUAAUCGCAGAUCAGCAACGCUGCGGUGAAUACGUUCCCGGGGCC